rnacentral:rRNA from 1 species
AUUGAACGCUGGCGGCAGGCCUAACACAUGCAAGUCGAACGAGUGGCGGACGGGUGAGUAAUGUAUGGGAAACUGCCUGAUGUAGGGGGAUGACUACUGGAAACGGUAGCUAAUACCGCAUACCAUCGGAUGUGCCCAGAUGGGAUUAGCUAGUAGGUGGGGUAAAGGCUCACCUAGGCGACGAGCCCUAGCUGGUCUGAGAGGGUGACCGGCCACACUGGAACGGAGACACGGUCCAGACUCCUACGGGAGGCAGCAGUAGGGAAUAUUGGGCAAUGGGCGCAAGCCUGAUCCAGCCACGCCGCGUGAAUGAAGAAGGCCUUCGGGUUGUAAAACACUGUCGGCGGGGAAGCGUUACCCGAAGAAGAAGCACCGGCUAACUCCGUGCCAGCAGCCGCGGUAAUAC